rnacentral:rRNA from 1 species
UACGGAAGGCAGCAGUGGGGAAUAUUGCACAAUGGGCGAAAGCCUGAUGCAGCUAUGCCGCGUGUAUGAAGAAGGCCUUAGGGUUGUAAAGUACUUUCAUCGGGGAGGAAAAAACAAAACUAAUAAUUUUAUUUCUUGACGUUACCCGAAAAAGAAGCACCGGCUAACUCCGUGCCAGCAGCCGCGGUAAUACGGAGGGUGCUAGCGUUAAUCAGAAUUACUGGGCGUAAAGAGCACGUAGGUGGUUUUUUUAAAGUCAGAUGUGAAAUCCCUGGGCUUAACCUAGGAACUGCAUUUUGAAACUGAAAUACUAGAGUAUCGUAGAGGGAGGUAGAAUUCUAGGUGUAGCGGUGAAAUGCGUAGAUAUCUGGAGGAAUACCUGUGGCGAAAGCGGCCUCCUAAACGAAUACUGACACUGAGGGUGCGAAAGCUGGGGAGCAAACAGGGAUUAGAUA